GGCAGGUGUCCCUGGGAAUGGGCCGCAGGGGCACGGGAGGUGCCACUCUCCGCACCGCACUGCCCAGCCCACGCCUGUCCUGCGCAGGCAGGGGACUGGCCCUGCAGCGGGGGCCAGGGUUCAGGAGCACCAGGGCGGGGAUCACCCGACUCACCGCCAAGGAAAAAAACUGUCCCUGCCACAGUUCAAGCCCCAGCUCUUGCUAAUUCCUGCGCCAAAUGGUGUAAUUACCACUGAAGUUGUCAAAUGGCAUCCAGAUGGCCUUACCUUUCACACCAGCGGUUUAAUAAGCUUUUAGGCGUGACCUCUGCCGCCCGUCUUCCACCUGCACAGGCCCUGCGUGAAAUCCGAGUCCACAAUUAGAUCUGAUAAUGAGAGCCAAGGCGCCCAGCCUUGAACUCCACCAGCCCGCUUCCAGGGGUGCCCAGAGAGUCACCCCACGCCACUGACAAAUGGCCUGCACCCACCACAAUUGUGGGAGGCCAGAGGCGGCCUGAGGCCUGGAAGCGCCUUCGGGGGCCAGAGAGUUCCACAGGCUCAGGCAGCCGUUUCCCGAAGCGAGACCUGGCAAAGGAGCCGCUCAGACCCAAUGAUGUCCCCAAGAUGGUGGUUCCGGCCACCCACCUGGGGCCCACCAGAGAAGACGCUUUUCCAGCUCUACCACCUCCGAGGGCACCAGCCGGUGGGCCCCUGCUGCACACAGCCACCGAGACCUCGCCCCAGAGGGCUCAUGCCAACAGCCCACGCAGCCGCUUCAGCAGAGGAGGGUCUGGACCAUGGAGGCUCCUGUUCCACUGUUUUGAAAACCAGUUUUUCUUUCCUGUGAUGGGUCAGACCCUCGUCAGUUACAGGACAGACACCUACCA
rnacentral:lncRNA from 1 species